CUAUAAGAUUCUAUGUAAAAGUAAACAUGGAUCCUCAUUCUCAAGAAAUAUUCAAGAAGCUUAUACAAGCUAGACUUGUUCCUAUCUCUAGAUAAUUAAAUGAUUGAGAUUAAGAUAUACAUUGGAGGUGAUAUGACAUAUCAUCAAUUGACAUCAAAUGUAUGCAGGGUGAGAUGUUAGAAUGCAUAUUCUAGUUGCAUUUCAUUAGCAUACUGGUUCAUUCUAUAUUUAUCAUAGACUUCCAAACCAUCGCAUAACUCAAUCCUAUA
rnacentral:lncRNA from 1 species